rnacentral:lncRNA from 1 species
GAUAAAUACUUCUUUAUUGCCACGAAAGAUGUCGGGACACCGUCUUGAGACGACAUCUUUCGUGAAAUCGUGACAACUGAUAAAACUUUUUUUGCUGUCAAUUGUCAUUUCGUCGGGAGGCGUCACACAGGCGGCUAUCCUAUGUCCACCCGUGUUCCCCAUUUGCCAUCACGAUUAUACCUGCUUCGCUUACUGGUGCCACACUGCCACUUCCUGGCGUUUUUACUGUCGCGUGUUCAAUGGCGUCUGGUGUACGUUAGUCGUUGCUUUGUGUGGUGUUCUACGUCUGAAUAAUGAUGUUUUCCUGCUUAACCAGGAGCCUGAGUAUUUGUAAAAGCAAUUCUUAUUGGUCAACUUACGAUUUACUAAAGACUAGUGCAGUUCUAAAUUGCAUUCUAACUGCAAUGGCUGAAUUUUAGUUUAGCUUCUCAUUAGUAAAUCUGUAUAUGGAGGUUUAAGAUAAAAUUGAAUUUUGUUAAGGAAGCUUCACAUGAAUUUGUCAGUGUUGACUUGACAUGACUUCAGAACAAUGGAAUUUGGCAUUAGUCAGGUAACUGUGAUGGAGAAGUGCCUUAUCACUAGUAAAAAACUUCCAGCAGGAUAGUAAAACAUGGAAUAAACUCAUUUUGAUUUAUUUCAAUAACCAUAUUUUUCUUAGAUGAUUUCAUAUCCCUAUUUCUAUUAAUGGUCUCGUGUAAGGGAGCAAUUUUUCCCCAUGUCUGUCACAGAAAGAUAACCAAGCCAUGGUCUAUAAACUAGUUUAUAGACCACGACCAAACCAUCAAUUCUAACAUUUCACAAUCAGUAAGUGGGUUUGAAUAUUGAUUCUCUAUCUGAAUUUAUAAUGUGUAGUAUAACUAUUUACAGGUUAAGUGUAACUCAGUGUUCCAUCCGAUAUUUAUUGUAGUUGGUAUAUCUUGAACUAAAUUGCAUCCAACCAUUUGAAAUAUGAAUUCGUUACACAGUGACAUUAAUUUUUAAAAUUUUGCCAUAAUUGGUGUUGAUUUUAACUGUUGUGGUGAAUUGCCUAUUAGUUUUCAACUUCCAAGUGGUUUUAACACAAUGGGUUCAAUUUAUUAAUUAGCAAAGUUUAUGGUUUCAACAUGCAUUCAUCUAUGCUAUUUAUUUUACGAAGAUAAUCUUUUUAUUUCAAAAUGUGCUUUGUAAUAAGAUCUUGCAUUAAUCGAUUAGUUGCAAUUGGGAUUGAGUCCCCGAUUAAGGAUUCAACGGUUAUUGGGUUUGGGGCGAAAAAUUGUACUCUCUGGAAUACCCGCGCCGAAGCCUCGAAAUACUUUUGGAAAUGCUGAUUGGCUCGGGGUCGAUCCCUAGCUACUAAACUUAUUUUUCUGCUGUGAGACAUUGUUUGACAUCCCAUUAUGCAAAACAGUCAAAGUUGAUCUGUUGCAUAGUCGCAUGGACGGCAAUAAAAAAUUUUGAAAGAAAGUAGAAGUUUUACUUUGAAAUGACACUGACAAGGAAACAAAUAUUUCUACUUAAGGCAUGUAUCUUUCUGAAGUAUUUAGUUGAUGUUUUGCCAUUAAAGUUUCAUCACAGACGUUUGUGGCUCCAUGUGAAGUAUUUGUUAAACAGUAAGAAUUCAGACUUUUAAAUUGAAAUUCUUUUCUGCAGAAAUCCACUAGGUGGUGGAGUGAUAGAACACCUACUUUGAUCAGCUGUUUAUUUGGUUAUAUCUCUGCUAAAAGAUGAUAAAACUUUAGCGAAAAAACCGAGUCUGUCGUACCAGUGAAAAUCAGUUCAUUGAUCGAAAUUGGCUUCAACCCAUCUGUUGCACUGAAAAAGCUUAAUUAAUGAACUCACUGAAUUAGUUGAUUCAGUCCCUUUUGGCUCUUCAUUUCCAACUAAUUCGGGUUACCGAAAAUUUGUCAUUACUUCGUUUUCGCCACGCACAACGGAAAAAUCAGAUCAGUUACUGAAGGGUCUGGAGUAUUAGCUAACAUUCCAUCGCCGAUUAUGCAAAAGGACGAAAUUUCGGUUGCAGAAGAGAGAGGUUGGAUUUAAAAAAAUAUUUUAAAUCCAGUUUAGCAGAGAAACGAAUUGUAAAUGUGCCACAGUGAGCGCAUUAGUGCGGAAAUCCCACCACAAAUGCAGAAUCGGUCCAAAGAGUGCUGGUACAGCCGCCAACUUGCAAGAAAAUUGGAUACUGCGGAAAUGCCACCGACUAAUAUGGAAAAAAGAAGGAAUUACUCUAAGUGCUGCAGUAACUUAAAAUUUUAAACUGUUUUAUGUUAUUUCGUAGUUUGCGUUUCUUUUUCGAUGACUUCUUAAACAUUUACUUUCUAUUUGUAUUUUUAUAGGUCUCCGGAGAAAAGCUCGGUGUUGCUCUGACUUUAAAGUAUACAGAUAAGUCAAUUCGACCAGCACAGCCGAAAUUUUGGCUCCCUCAUGGACUCAUCGGCGUAUUAUUCGGGGAAAAAAAAACGCUGAUAUUCGGGCUAUUACGCAGGAUUACCGAAAGGGACAUGGUGUAAUCCCACGGAGCUUAUUCCCUGUCCUCUGUAAAUUGUUAUUAUUUAAGGAGAUACA